rnacentral:tRNA from 1 species
AGAGUUUUAGUUUAAAAUAGAACGGUCGCUUGUCAGGCGACAGAUCCCUCGAAGGGAGAUUCUA